CUCCUAAGGGCCUUCCUUUUGUACCAAUAGGCACCAAGCCUGGGAGCUGAGGGAGAAGGGAAGCCUUUUUCUGCUGAGCAAUAGUGUAUAUUGAGAAAAUGAUAAAGGAAUGUUUCUGGGUGUGUGUGCAUUUGUCCAUGUUGUUGUCUACAUGUGCAGUGUAUGCGUAUAUAUUUCAUAUAUGCACUUGUGUGUGCAUUUGGAGACCUCACCAGGUAUAUUUCUUUUUGUCACUCUCUACCUUUAGUUUUUGAGGCAGUUCUCUCACUAAACCUAAAACUCAUUAGUUCAGAUAGGCUGGUUAGCAGCCAAACAGCUUCUCCACCCUACCAAAAGGAUGAACCUCCAAACCUGACUUUUUAUGUUGGUUCUGGGGUCCUGAAUUCAGGUUCUUGUAUUUGUGCGACAGGCACUUUAAUGCCCGGGUUAUUUCUCCAUUCCUGGGAAAUAAAAAAUGUUAAAAAUUCAUCAAAGAAAACAUCCUUUUGGAUGACUGGCACUGGGAUGUGAUAAAAACAGAAACCUGGACAGAUCUCACUCACUCCAGUAUGUUUUUGCAGCCAGCCUACCCUCGGUGGAUGAAGUGUGUGGAACAGACGGGAUCCUUCUUUGAGCCUACUCUGGCAGCUCUGUUUGUUCAUGAAGCCUUUGGUCCAAGCAUUCGAAGUGCUGUAUGCCAUGGAAUUAUUUGCUGAGAUAAAGGAUGCUGUCAUCGUACGCCUCAAGAAGCUUUCCUGGAUAAGUGAGGAGACUCGGAAAGAGGCCUUGAACAAGCUCACCCAACUGCAGGUGGAGAUGGGGGCUCCAAAACGGGCCCUGAA
rnacentral:lncRNA from 1 species